GUCCCUGUAGUAUAAUAAUUACUCUAGUCUUGUAAACCAGAAAUGGAGGGAGCACCCUCCCCAGGACA
rnacentral:tRNA from 1 species